rnacentral:lncRNA from 1 species
CGUUGGAGGGUGAACACUUGGGCACCUAGUGGAAAUUCUGCAUAUUGGAUUAGCGUUAGAGGUAUUCUUCUAUUUCUGCAUUUAUAUUAUCUUAUUUGAUUGCUUCCAUUAAGGUGAUCUUGGCUUAUAAGGGUUUUAUGUUAAGGAACUUUAUCAAGAAAUUUUUAAAAUUCCUAACUUCCGCUGCGCAUUAUAACAUGCUAAAAUCCUUCAG